rnacentral:rRNA from 1 species
CCCUUAGAUGUCCUGGGCCGCACGCGUGCUACACUGACGCAUACAACGAGCAUUUCCGGCCCCGAAAGGAGGCUGGUAAUCAGCAAUAUGCGUCGUGAUGGGGAUAGAUCUUUGGAAUUUUUGAUCUUGAACGAGGAAUGCCUAGUAAGCGUAAGUCAUCAGCUUGCGUUGAUUAAGUCCCUGCCCUUUGUACACACCGCCCGUCGCUCCUACCGAUUUCGAGUGGUCCGCUGAACCUUUCGGAUUGGGCCAAUCUAUGGCCUGAAAAGUCAAGUAAAGCACAUCACUUAGAGGAAGGAGAAGUCGUAACA